rnacentral:rRNA from 1 species
AGAGUUUGAUCAUGGCUCAGGAUGAACGCUAGCGGCAGGCUUAACACAUGCAAGUCGAGGGGUAUAGGUUUUCGAACCUAGAGACCGGCGCACGGGUGCGUAACGCGUAUGCAAUCUACCUUUUACAGAGGGAUAGCCCAGAGAAAUUUGGAUUAAUACCUCAUAGUAUUAUUGAAUGGCAUCAUUUAAUAAUUAAAGUCACAACGGUAAAAGAUGAGCAUGCGUCCCAUUAGCUUGUUGGUAAGGUAACGGCUUACCAAGGCAACGAUGGGUAGGGGUCCUGAGAGGGAGAUCCCCCACACUGGUACUGAGACACGGACCAGACUCCUACGGGAGGCAGCAGUGAGGAAUAUUGGUCAAUGGGCGCAAGCCUGAACCAGCCAUGCCGCGUGCAGGAUGACGGUCCUAUGGAUUGUAAACUGCUUUUGUACAGGAAGAAACAGUUCUACGUGUAGAACCUUGACGGUACUGUAAGAAUAAGGAUCGGCUAACUCCGUGCCAGCAGCCGCGGUAAUACGGAGGAUCCAAGCGUUAUCCGGAAUCAUUGGGUUUAAAGGGUCCGUAGGCGGUUUUGUAAGUCAGUGGUGAAAGCCCAUCGCUCAACGGUGGAACGGCCAUUGAUACUGCAAGACUUGAAUUAUUGGGAAGUAACUAGAAUAUGUAGUGUAGCGGUGAAAUGCUUAGAGAUUACAUGGAAUACCAAUUGCGAAGGCAGGUUACUACCAAUAUAUUGACGCUGAUGGACGAAAGCGUGGGGAGCGAACAGGAUUAGAUACCCUAGUAGUCC